rnacentral:lncRNA from 1 species
CAGUGGUGGAUUACAAUGAGGUCAACAAAGGGACAUGAUGGAAAGGAACCUGUAAAAUUUGUGGAUCUCCUUGGUGACCAUGGAAAACCAAUUAAUCCUCUUUGGGAAUUGAUCAAAUGGUGCUUGAGUCUGUCAGUAUACACUAUUCCUUCCAUUGG